UCCUCCGUGGCGCAAUUGGCUAGCGCGUUCGACUGUUAAACCCCAAAGGCAAUCGAGAGGUUGGUGGUUCAAGCCCACCCGGAGGAG